UACGGAGGGGGCGAGCGUUAUUCGGAAUUAUUGGGCGUAAAGGGCGCGUAGGCGGCUCUAUAAGUCAAAGGUGAAAUCCCUCGGCUCAACUGAGGAACUGCCUUUGAAACUGUUGGGCUUGAGGCCGGGAGAGGGUAGUGGAAUUCCCAGUGUAGCGGUGAAAUGCGUAGAUACUGGGAGGAACACCAGUGGCGAAGGCGGCUACCUGGACCGGUACUGACGCUGAUGCGCGAAAGCGUGGGUAGCAAACAGG
rnacentral:rRNA from 1 species